rnacentral:rRNA from 1 species
AUUGAACGCUGGCGGUAACUUUUAAACAUGCAAGUCGGACGGUAACAUUGGUGCUUGCACCAGAUGACGAGUGGCGCAAGGGUGAGUAUCACGUGAAUAAUCUGCCCUCGAGAUCGGGAUAACAUGGUGAAAACUAUGCUAAUACCGGAUAAGACCACAUUUCAUAAGAAAUGCGGUAAAAGGAGUCUCAAUCUUCACUCGAGGAUGAGUUCGCGCAACAUUAGCUUGUUGGUGAGAUAAAAGCUCACCAAGGCUACGAUGUUUAGCCGGCCUGAGAGGGUGAACGGCCACACUGGAACUGAGACACGGUCCAGACUCCUACGGGAGGCAGCAGUGGGGAAUAUUGCGCAAUGGGCGAAAGCCUGACGCAGCAACGCCGUGUGAGCGAUG